UACGUAGGGUGCGAGCGUUGUCCGGAAUUAUUGGGCGUAAAGAGCUUGUAGGCGGUUUGUCGCGUCUGCCGUGAAAAUUCGAGGCUCAACCUCGAACUUGCGGUGGGUACGGGCAGACUAGAGUGCAGAAGGGGCAAUCGGAAUUCUUGGUGUAGCGGUGAAAUGCGUAGAUAUCAAGAGGAACACCUGAGGUGAAGACGGGUUGCUGGGCUGACACUGACGCUGAGGCGCGAAAGCUAGGGGAGCAAACGGG
rnacentral:rRNA from 1 species